GUGGGGAAUAUUGGACAAUGGGCGAAAGCCUGAUCCAGCCAUGCCGCGUGUGUGAAGAAGGUCUUCGGAUUGUAAAGCACUUUAAGUUGGGAGGAAGGGCAGUAAGUUAAUACCUUGCUGUUUUGACGUUACCGACAGAAUAAGCACCGGCUAACUUCGUGCCAGCAGCCGCGGUAAUACGAAGGGUGCAAGCGUUAAUCGGAAUUACUGGGAGUAAAGCGCGCGUAGGUGGUUUUGUAAGUUGGAGGUGAAAUCCCCGGGCUCAACCUGGGAACUGCCUCCAAAACUGCAUGACUAGAGUACGGUAGAGGGUAGUGGAAUUUCCUGUGUAGCGGUGAAAUGCGUAGAUAUAGGAAGGAACACCAGUGGCGAAGGCGACUACCUGGACUGAUACUGACACUGAGGUGCGAAAGCGUGGGGAGCAAACAGGAUUAGAUACCCGGGUAGUCC
rnacentral:rRNA from 1 species